UAUUACGAUGAUCGACGUCAUUUUGCCCAUGUCGGUAAAUUCGGUGUUUUAAAAAAUAAAAUUAUUUUUGGUCUGUUUUGACUGUGCGCCGGUAUGCUAUGUUCAUUCCCCUUUAAGACAGGGGACAGCGUGUGGAGUCACGUGACUUCACCCAUUCACUCUGAGCAAGAAGGUAAACAGACGACAAGGAAAUGGCUGAUGGUUUAAAUGUAGAAGCGGCUGACGCAUCCGUAGAUGAAGCAGUAUUGGUCGAAGUUGAGCCUGUUGUGCUCAUUCCAAAAAGAAAUUCCACAUCUGUCGUUUGGAAAUAUUUUGGGUUCCACAAAGAUGAUGCUGAGCAAAAGAACGCGAAGUGCAAAGUGUGUCUGAAAACCGUCGUAACUUCCCAAAGCAACACGUCUAACCUUUUCCACCACCUACAGCACAACCAUGCUGUUGAGUUUGAAGAUGUGCGAAAAGCUCAAAGCCAGAAACAAGGUUCGAGAAGUGUCACGGUCACCCCCAGGCAGCAGCGCAUAACGGAGCAUUUGCGGGAGCUACACCAUACGAGAGAACUUCUAAAAGGUGGAUAGAAAUAACCAACGCAAUAGCCUCCCACAUACACACGUGGACAAAAUUGUUGGUACCCCUCAGUUAAAGAAGGAAAAACCCACAAUUCUCACUGAAAUCACUUGAAACUCACAAAAGUAACAAUAAAUAAAAAUUUAUUGAAAAUUAAAUAAUCAAAAACAGCCAUUACUUUUGAAUUGUUGAUUAACAUAAUUAUUUAAAAAAACAAACUAAUGAAACAGGCCUGGACAAAAAUUGUUUGCAGCCAUUUUGCUUUCAAGAAGGGUUUUUUAGCUGUUUUGCUUUCAGAAUCUCAAUUUUCAAGUCUUUGGUGGCUGACUGAAGGACAGAGACAGGCCCAUUUUUGAAAGCCUGUUUCUUUUUAUUCAGACAGGAUCUGAUGUUUUUGCUGACCCAUGGCUUGUUGUUGGGGUACACUUCAACAUGCUUACAGGUAAUAGCUGGUGACAUGCACCAGAGCAUCAAGAUCACCCCCACAGGACUGGAUAAAAACAUCCCAAUAUGUACAAUUAAAACAUUCCUGCAGGGAGAGCACAGGUUCUUCUGACAACAUCUCAUUGUCCUUAGUCUUUAUCUUCUCUCCUUCUGAAACAGUCACAUAGAUGGGCAGGAGGUACACGCAGUUAUGGUCAGCAAAACCCAAAGGAGGAAGAAGGAGGGAUUUAGAAGCAUUUUUCACCUAUCCAUAAUAAAGGUCCAUUAUUUUAUCCUGUCUGGUAGAACAGGAUACAUACUAGUAAAUGUUUUUCAGGGUUGUUAUAAGAGAGUCGUGGUUAAAAUCACCCAUUAUAAAACCUCUGCACUGUCUGUGCGAUGGUGCUGCAGGUGGAGUGAGCCCUUACAUGACUGUAGACUGUGGUGAUAAAAAUUUGGGGGAACUGCCACUGAAUCAAAUAUCACGAUUGAGUGCUGAUGUUAACCAAGUAACCUCAGUCUUGGCUGUUGUGUUUUGAUAAAUGCUACAUUUGGUGAGUAAAGUAAUGGACAGUAUCCCCUGUGCUAUGAAUGGAUGGUUAACAUUACUUGUUAAAUGAGAUGGAUGCUUCUACAGUUUUCCUCUUAUUGUAGGCAUGAGGCAAGAAAGGGACAUUGCAUCCUUUUUUGGCUCCAUUUUUUUUUUUAAAAAGGGAAAGCAGCAAGGUCAUGUCAAGAUGUUGAGAGAGCUGAGGAGCAGGUAGAGGAAGAGCCAGAAGAGUUGGCGAAGGAAUUAUUUAUGUGUCAUUAUAUGAAUCUUGUGUUAAAAACAAACAAAUGCAUAGCCUACAUUUUAAAAUACAUGCAUAUGGUACAUGAUACAUUAUGUUAAUAAAUAUAUAAUUGUAGUUAGAAACUAUGUUUAAUGUGCAUAUUUCCACAGAUAUUAGCAAGUUCAGGAAUGAUGUGACUUCUGAGUAUAGAAUCCAGACGGGCCAAUGCAUGGAUCUCAACAUGUUUGAGGACCAGUUUUCCAGACAGCCCGACCACUUUAUCCUGUUUCUGUAGUUCUAAGGCUUGGAACGUCAGGAACCAAGCCAUUUUUGAUACAUGUGAUUGAUGUUUACUUCUUCCUACACCCUUUUCGAACAAAAUCUGGUUUUUGAAAUUGAUUAU